rnacentral:rRNA from 1 species
CCUACGGGGGGCUGCAGUGAGGAAUAUUGGUCAAUGGCCGAGAGGCUGAACCAGCCAAGUCGCGUGAGGGAAGACGGCCCUACGGGUUGUAAACCUCUUUUGUCGGGGAGCAAAGCGGACCACGUGUGGAUCAUUGAGGGUACCGGAAGAAUAAGGAUCGGCUAAUUCCGUGCCAGCAGCCGCGGUAAUACGGAGGAUGCGAGCGUUAUCCGGAUUUAUUGGGUUUAAGGGGUGCGAGGGCGGAGGUUAAAGGCAGCGGUAAAAUUGCGGGGCUAAACCCCGUACUGCCGUUGAAACUGGAGCCCUUGAGUGCGCGGAAGGCAUGCGGAAUGCGUGGUGUAGCGGUGAAAUGCAUAGAUAUCACGAAGAACUCCGAUUGCGAAGGCAGCAUGCCGGAGCGCAACUGACGCUCAUGCACGAAAGCGUGGGUAUCGAACAGGAUUAGAUACCCGGGUAGUC